rnacentral:rRNA from 1 species
CCCUUAGAUGUUCUGGGCCGCACGCGCGUUACACUGAUGCAUUCAACGAGUCCUUCCUUGGCCGAGAGGCCUGGGCAAUCUUUUGAACGUGCAUCGUGAUAGGGAUAGAUUAUUGCAAUUAUUAAUCUUGAACGAGGAAUUCCUAGUAAACGCAGUUCAUCAAACUGCAUUGAUUACGUCCCUGCCCUUUGUACACACCGCCCGUCGCACCUACCGAUUGAAUGGUCCGGUGAAAUCUCGGGACGGCGGCUUGGUCGCUUGCGUCCGACUGCUGAAACUUGAUUAAACCAUAUCAUUUAGAGGAAGGUGAAGUCGUAACA